CCUACGGGUGGCAGCAGUGCGGAAUAUUGGGCAAUGGGCGCAAGCCUGACCCAGCAACGCCGCGUGAAGGAAGAAGGCUUUCGGGUUGUAAACUUCUUUUAAGGGGGAAGAGCAGAAGACGGUACCCCUUGAAUAAGCCACGGUUAACUACGUGCCAGCAGCCGCGGUAAUACGUAGGUGGCAAGCGUUGUCCGGAUUUACUGGGUGUAAAGGGCGUGCAGCCGGAGAGACAAGUCAGAUGGGAAAUCCACGGGCUCAACCCGUGAACUGCAUUUGAAACUGUUUCCCUUGAGUGUCGGAGAGGUAAUCGGAAUUCCUUGUGUAGCGGUGAAAUGCGUAGAUAUAAGGAAGAACACCAGUGGCGAAGGCGGAUUACUGGACGAUAACUGACGGUGAGGCGCGAAAGCGUGGGGAGCAAACAGGAUUAGAUACCCGGGUAGUC
rnacentral:rRNA from 1 species